GCCGGUGUAGCUCAGUUGGUAGAGCACCUGACUUGUAAUCAGGGGGUCGCGAGUUCGAUUCCUGCCGCCGGCACCA
rnacentral:tRNA from 76 species